rnacentral:lncRNA from 1 species
AGAAUUAACUGAGCUAUAAUUCUGAUCAAAUCAGGAUUUAUUCUUUCUUAGUGAUUAGGUUAUCUUAUAACCUAAUCGAGAUUGACCUAAUUAAAUCCAAUUUAAUUAGACUUGAUCCAGACUUUAAUGCUCAAUCAAAUUUUAUUAAUCAGUGAUCUAAUUGCUAAUUAAUCUUUUUGAAUUUCACUAACACUUAGCGAAUUAAUUUAUUGGAACUAUUGCACAGGGUUGAUUAUCAAUCGCAUUGACAAUUUUACCCUCAAAGAUUCUCAAUCAUCGAUCUGCCAAU